rnacentral:sRNA from 1 species
AGUCGCCCGCAUCGUGGAGGCCAAGGCUUUCAUGACUGAGCGAUCUUUCAAUCUGGUCGUGCCGCUGGCUCACGAGGCCACCGCCAUGCGCAAUGAAGAAACCGUCCGCCGGCGUGCGGAAGGGUCUAGCGCAGUUUCCCGUCUGAUCGGCGCAAGCCUUCGGCAGGGCGACGUAGAUAGCACGAUUUCUCC